GUGCUCACAGUGACCGCGCGGUGAAAUGAAAAGGGAGCAUUGAUUUUGAUUCUGCCCACAUAGAAAAGUGGAAGCCUGGGGUAUGAAUGUUCUGGGGUCCCACACGGGUAGAAAAAGCCCUACUGUUCUUCCACUCCCAACUGCUCCAAGCAAGUCUUUCAUUCAGGCUAUGUUUCUGUUUCAGUUCAAACCCCCUCCCUGUGAAAUGUAUUGGCCCUUUUUUCCCCACCUCCCACUACUUCUCCCCAGCCCCCCUUCCCAGGCCAACUCCAAAACAGGAGUAUUCUAGCUGAGGAUGCUCAACGAUGAAGACGGCUACCCACGUGAAUCCAGCCAAGCUUCUAUUUAAGUUUCCAUCAGGAUUUUGACAUGGUUUCCAUAGUUUCUUUCUACUGUCCAAAGUGUGGUACUGCUGUGGGCGCCACCCCAAAAUGGAACGCGAGGAGCAGAUGUUUUGUAAAAGUAAGCGCUGUGUCUGGGGAAGUGUGAGUUAAGAAGCUAAGUGUGACUUUGCAAGCCGUGUAAGGUUUUCAGCAACAUUCAACAAGUAUUUUCAGCUUCUGUUCUUUGUCCUGAGGUUACCUGCUUGAGACACUGGUAAGCGGAAGAAACUCAGCCUGUGACCUCGAGCUGAGAGUUUAGCAAUGGACCUCAGUGUAGGUGCAGUAUCUUAGCAAGUACAGGUUGCUGGGUAAGAGCACUAGGAACCCUUAAUGAGUGGUGGAGGAAGGCUUUUUAAAGGAAAUGACCUUUAAGGGGAAACCCAAAGGAUGAGUAAGAGCUAGGCAAACAGGAGUGAGUGAGGUGUUCUAGGCCGAUGAGUGAUGAAGUUGUGGGAAUCUAGGAAAGGGAGAGGUGUCCUGGAUUAUGGGAAUAGGAGUGAAAUGAAGUCAGAGAAGUAGCUGCACUGGGGCCAUAUUUAUUAGCAGAUACAGAUGACUGAUGGUUGUCAGAGGUGGGGGGAGAGGUCAAGGAUUACACCCAGGUUUCCUGCUGGCUGGACCGUGGAACCUUUCACUGAGAUACGGAGCCAUGAUGAGUUCAGUCAUGGACAAUGAGAGUUUGCAGGUGCCUGAGAUAUCCACAUGGACGUACCUAGUGGGCACUUUUUACAUGGGCCUGGAGGUUGGGAAGGAGGACCAGGCUGGAGGUAGGGAUGCUAGGCACCAGCAUGGAUAUUACUGAAGCUAUGGGUGUGGUUAUGGGGGCUGAGAAGCAGUCUAGGCUGGAGACCUGAGAAGCACCCACUCUUAAGGGGUAGGCAGAGGACGAGGGGUCUGUCUAUAAAUGACAUCAUUAGUAAACCCUGUGGCUUAGACAAUAGCACCACCUUCACCUCCAGCUUACCAAAUAUUUUCACAUAUGUUAUCCAGUGAAGUAAGUGGAACACAUUAUUCCUAUUCCACAGUUGGAGAAAUUGAGGUCAACAAAGGUUACAUGACUUAGCCAAUGCCACCCAGAGGUCUAUAAUACGUCAAAGGUCAUCACAUUCCAAAGGUUUUUUUUGCCCCUUCAGCGGGUAUGGUUACAGGGCCUCCGACCUUCCUACUCAUCCACACCCAAGCCUCUUCCCAUCUCUGAGAUCCGAGAGCUCUUUUGCAACUUCUUUUUUUUUUAGUUUGUGUUUUUUCCUUCAUUGUUAUCAGUCCUAUUGCUAAUGAUAAUAGCUAGCACUUAUGUAGCAGUUGGGUAAGCAAGACGUUGUUCUAAAUGUUUCACAUAUGUUAACGUGUUUAAUCCCCACAAUAACCCUGUUAGGUAAAUACUACGAUUAUCCCUAUUUUACAGAUGAAAAAAUUGAGGCCCAAGGGCACAAGCUGCUACAUAGAGAGGAGAGAAGAAAACCACCGACCUGGUCCUCCCUUCUUUUAUGGAGUUGGCAGGAGCCUGAACCUUUGUUUGGAGGAAAGGAGAACCACCCCUUACUUUGUCCUGAACCACCCUACUCCCAAACUCCCCAAAGGCGACUUCUCUUUUGCCAGACUGGGAAGAGGUGAUUGGGUAAGUGGGCAAGAAGCCUCUUCAUGUCAAGCUGACUGGUUAUCGGGGCACCAAGAAGGAGCUGUAGCCAGCUCACCAGGACUUCUACCACCAGAAUCCUGACGUAAGCCUGAGCCUGAGCGGUGGGUGCACCGCCCAGGUUGCAGGGAGCUGAUGCCCUUAGGAUAUGUAUGGAAAGGCCAGCAGCCCUGCAGGAGCCUAGAUGGGCACUGAGUUAUGGGGGUAGAUUAAUGAGACUUCCUCCUAGUACUGCCCUCUUAACACAGGAUAGAGUCCACAGCUGGCAUUCAGGUUUGUUAAUGUGCUCUAUGUCUCACUGUGACUGGAGUGUGAAUUCAGGUACAUUGCACCCAUUUAUUUUAUGCAUCUCACUCUUGGGCUGGACCUUGUGAAAACAAGCUGGAAACUCAAAACUGGUGAGCACCAUCCCUGGUUUUGCUGUAGCAUGAGGGAAAUUUAUGACCUUGUGAAUUUAUGGGGUGGGGGGGACCCUGGAUACACAGGACCCCCUCACUUCACCCUCAGUUCUCUGAACUUUUUAUUAUUAUUUGUUUCCUUUAGUGACCUUUUCUGGACUCUUUACUUCCUGUGUUUAGAAAUCCAGCUUCACAGUUUUACACCAGGUUGGGCCUUUUGGAAUGUGCCUCUAUUUGUAGUUCAACAAACUGUUAUCUGGCUACAGGUCUUGGUUCCUACUUCUUAUCAGUCUGUUCCUCCGCUUUCUGUUUUUAUUGUCCUAUUUCUGGCCUCCCCAACAAGAAGGUCUUAUUGUACCUGUCCGUUGGGAGUCUUUCCUACAACAAACACUAGAUUGUUCUCACUCCCUGGCUUCCUGGUUAGCUCUCAGUUAGAGUGGCUGAUAGUAACAGUGUAUCUUCAGCUCAGCACUGACAAAAAACCAAAACCAAACCAAAAAACGAAAACCCCACAGGAACUACUAGAUGUCCUGGAAAUUUUCAGUCUAGUGAAACAGACAAAACAAUUUUGACAGGAAUGCUGCCUUGGAAGAUAAUGGCAUCCCAAAACAGUCUUGAGUUGCUUGCUGCCCUCUCUUGCCAUGCCACUUUCCCUUCUCUGCUGCUGCUUCUCUUGCAAGAAACUUCCGGUCACAUUCCUCCCUGGAAGGUAGAGGAGGGGAAGACCAACACUGUUGAGAACCUAUUAGGCAUCAGGCCGUGCAUUUCAUCCUCAAAAUCAACUUGUGAGGCAGGUGAUGACAGAAAUCAAGGGAUAGAUGGAUUAGGAACUUGCCCAAAUCAGUUAGCAAGAAAGUGGCCCUGAAACACGUGUCAUAUUCUUAACAACCAGGUCAGGGCUUCCCCUCUUAUAAACUCUUGUAUUGUCACCUUCCCAAGUCAGUCUCCUUCACCAGGUUCUGAGUUCUUCCAGGGCAGAGACUGUGUCUUCCUGUACACAUUAGGCACUCAACAAAUGUCAGUUUCUUUAUUGCUUUCUCUUCCCUUAUCUGUCACUAAGCAGGCUUGAAUCUGCUGUCUACUGAUGUGCCUGGCAUUCUCUGUAAUUCAAGGAUGUAUUAGUGUUUAUGCCCCUUGAUUUACUCGAGGAAAUAAUAUCAACACAUGUUACGAAUAAUACAAAGCAGUAAGUACAUUAAAUGCUCAGUUGGGUGGAAGAAGGAAGGAGAUUAAUGAGGGCAGAAAUAGAUAUGAUAGAAAUAAACUUCAUAAAAGAUAUGGGGGGCUUCCCUGGUGGCGCAGUGGUUAAGAGUCCACCUGCCGAUGCAGGGGACGCGGGUUCGUGCUCCGGUCUGGGCGGAUCCCACAUGCCGCAGAGCGGCUGGGCCUGUGAGCCAUGGCCACUGAGCCUGCGCGUCCGGAGCCUGUGCUCCGCAACGGGAGAGGCCACGUGAGAGAGAGGCCCGCGUACCGCAAAAAAAAAAAAAAAGAUAUGGGGUCUUCAGCCAUGGAGGAUGAAUAGGAUUUAGAGGUUAAUCUGUGCCUUCCGACCACAAGUAGUUAACAAGCUCCUAUCCUGUGGCAGACAUGGUCUGGGUUUGGAGAACGAGGAUUCAGGGGAAAUAAGUAAAUGAUCGACUAGGAAAGUGCAUUUGGGGCUGAACUUUGGUGCCUCCCAGGAGGAGUAAGAAACCGAAGCUCAGAGCUGUCACAUAAAGAACACUGCAUCCUAUUGAGAGGUUGAGGCUAUGGGAAGAACUGAUCUUUUCUCUUCCCCCAAAGAAUAUUUUUUAGGAGGGAUGAAUGAGGGAUGGGUGCCAAUUGCCAAACAUCAAUUAGUAUCCCUUUUAGAUUCACCCUCAGCAACACUCCAGUUUUCUCAGGAAGAAAAUUGGUUUUCAAAAGUGUCAGAAGGACACCGCUUUUCCUGGAGCUCUUGAUUAAUCUUGAGUUAAUUAAUCUCACUUCUAAAGCUGUGAAAUCUUAACAUAUUACACAGAUCCAGAUGGGUCUGGAAAGAAAACACAGAUUCAAAAGGAAAACACUCAUUUAGAAGAUAUGUGCAUGACCAGCAGGCAGGGCUCAGUCUGUGCUCCAAUGAAAAAUUACACACAGUGCAAACUUUAGGUCAAAAGGAAAGUUAGGACCUGUGGCAAUUAUUUUAAUGCUUUCAGGAGAACUCAAAGUUAGAAGGACCAUAGGGAACAUCCAGUUCUAGCCCAGUUCCUCCUGGUGAAGAAAUUGGAACCCAGAGAGGUCGAGCCCCUCACCCUGGGUCUCAUAGUUGGUGGUAGAGCUCCAACUGGGGUCUUGGCGCCAAGAACAGUGUUUCAAAUACAUCAAGGCUUAAAGUGGGUGAAAUGUCUGCAUUUCCAAUGUCUCUGUAAGGAUACAGAGAGUGUGGGUAACCGUGGUUGGUUCUGAGAAGGAGAAAUGAGUGGCCCGGGAACAGGGGUGGGAGAGAGGUUUAAUUUUCACUGAAUACUUUUUGUACCUUUUGAAUUUUGUACAGUGUAAACAUGUUACCUAAUCAAACAAUAAAAAUUAUUUUCAAGAA